AAUACGUAGGGGGCAAGCGUUGUCCGGAUUUAUUGGGCGUAAAGAGCGUGUAGGCGGCCAGGUAGGUCGGCUGUGAAAACUCGAGGCUCAACCUCGAGAUGUCGGCCGAAACCAUCUGGCUAGAGUCCGGAAGAGGAGAGUGGAAUUCCCGGUGUAGCGGUGAAAUGCGCAGAUAUCGGGAAGAACACCCGUGGCGAAGGCGGCUCUCUGGGACGGUACUGACGCUGAGACGCGAAAGCGUGGGGAGCGAACAGGA
rnacentral:rRNA from 1 species